CAGAAGCCGGCGUUGAGCAUUUAGGCCUGUAGGUGGCAGCAUUGUCAGGUUUUGCAGCCUGGUAAGCCCGAGUAAGUCUAUUUCUUUUCUGAUCUCUUUCCCUGGCUUCUUAACAUCUUCCUCCUUGCUAUCUCAUCAGGCCCCAGCCAACAUCAUUACCCGCUCUUGUCAGGAUUUAUUACAGAAGCCAGCUGCAAAUUUGUAUAGACCACGCUGGAUGACUAAACUCAUGGCUCCAAGGCCUAACCGAGUUGGAUGGAUGAUGGCGCUGAAGAAAUCAACCAAACGAUUCUGACAAGAAUGAGAAUUUGACUUGAUGUAAAUCUCCUUGGUUUUAAAUAAAAACACAAUAUUUAACCA
rnacentral:lncRNA from 1 species